rnacentral:rRNA from 1 species
CUACGGGUCGCUGCAGUGAGGAAUAUUGCACAAUGGGGGGAACCCUGAUGCAGUAACGCCGCGUGGAGGAUGACGCAUUUCGGUGUGUAAACUCCUUUUAUAUGUCAAGAAAAUGACGGUAGCAUAUGAAUAAGCACCGGCUAACUCCGUGCCAGCAGCCGCGGUAAUACGGAGGGUGCAAGCGUUACUCGGAAUCACUGGGCGUAAAGGACGCGUAGGCGGGUUGGAAAGUCAGGUGUGAAAUCCUACAGCUUAACUGUAGAACUGCACUUGAAACUUCUAAUCUAGAGUAUGGGAGGGGGAGAUGGAAUUAGUGGUGUAGGGGUAAUAUCCGUAGAUAUCACUAGGAAUACCUAAAGCGAAGGCGAUCUCCUGGAACAUUACUGACGCUAAGGCGUGAAAGCGUGGGGAGCAAACAGGAUUAGAUACCCCUGUAGUC